AAGGAAGUCAUGUCUUUCACUUUCUUCUUAGCCCUCCUUACACUGAGAAUAGAGUAGGAUAAUAGAAAAUGCAAAUAUACUUUGGGCAAGUUUCACUAAAGCUUUCACUCAAUAAAAGCAAUACCUAGGCUAGCACUCUGCCACUUGAGCCACAGCGCCCCUUCUGG